GAUGAACGCUGGCGGCGUGCUUAACACAUGCAAGUCGAACGGAACUGUUUGAAUGAAGUUUUCGGAUGGAUUUUAAACAGUUUAGUGGCGGACGGGUGAGUAACGCGUGGGUAACCUGCCUCAUACAGGGGGAUAACAGUUAGAAAUGGCUGCUAAUACCGCAUAAGCGCACAGCUUCGCAUGGAGCAGUGUGAAAAACUCCGGUGGUAUGAGAUGGACCCGCGUCAGAUUAGGUAGUUGGUGGGGUAACGGCCUACCAAGCCGACGAUCUGUAGCCGACCUGAGAGGGUGACCGGCCACAUUGGGACUGAGACACGGCCCAA
rnacentral:rRNA from 1 species